AUCUGGGUCAAUCUCUUUUUGGCUAAAAAUCCGGGCUUUAGAAGAAGAAGAAGAAGGAGAAGAAAAGUGAUUUGUAUAUCAAUGGAGAAUGGUAAAUGGAGAUGAAGAGAUCAAAUAACUCCCCAGAAAGGAGGCUGUUUCGGAGUUUUCAAAGUCUUCCAAAUCUAUGGUCAAUGCUUCCAUUCUUGCUUCUCCUAGCAAUCUCCUAAGACCAUGGAAAUAGACAGAUUUCUC
rnacentral:misc_RNA from 1 species